rnacentral:rRNA from 1 species
CCUACGGGUGGCAGCAGUGAGGAAUAUUGGUCAAUGGGCGCGAGCCUGAACCAGCCAAGUCGCGUGAGGGAAGACGGUCCUAUGGAUUGUAAACCUCUUUUGUCGGGGAGCAAAAGACGCCACGCGUGGCGUUCCGAGAGUACCCGAAGAAAAAGCAUCGGCUAACUCCGUGCCAGCAGCCGCGGUAAUACGGAGGAUGCGAGCGUUAUCCGGAUUUAUUGGGUUUAAGGGGUGCGCAGGCGGAAGAUAAAAUCAGCGGUAAAAUUGAGGGGCUCAACCUCUUCGAGCCGUUGAAACUGGUGUUCUUGAGGGAGUGAGAAGUAUGCGGAAUGCGUGGUGUAGCGGUGAAAUGCAUAGAUAUCACGCAGAACUCCGAUUGCGAAGGCAGCAUACCGGCGCUCAACUGACGCUCAUGCACGAAAGUGUGGGUAUCGAACAGGAUUAGAUACCCCUGUAGUC